rnacentral:lncRNA from 1 species
AGUUAAAAGCUGGAUGAUCAACCAAGGCAGGUUGUUCUUAAGGUGUUUUAGUCAAUCUUGGUUUAACAAAACUCAUCAAGACUCAAAGGUGGAGAUUGUAAAGAAAUUGUUUGACUCUUGAUUCGGUUGGUUAAACUCUUUAGUUAGAAAUCAGUUUAAUGAGUUAGAAAUCAGUUGGAGCCUCUUAGAUUCUAACAGAUUUUCUGAUAGUAGUUUUAACUGAAUAUUAAAUACAUUUUCUUGUAUAUCUCUAGGUUCCUAUGUCAAUAAAUAGGACCAAGGCUGUUAACGUGAAUGGGUGAG